GACGAACGCUGGUGGCGUGCCUAAUACAUGCAAGUAGAACGCUGAAGGAGGAGCUUGCUUCUCUGGAUGAGUUGCGAACGGGUGAGUAACGCGUAGGUAACCUGCCUGGUAGCGGGGGAUAACUAUUGGAAACGAUAGCUAAUACCGCAUAAGAGUAGAUGUUGCAUGACAUUUGCUUAAAAGGUGCAAUUGCAUCACUACCAGAUGGACCUGCGUUGUAUUAGCUAGUUGGUGAGGUAACGGCUCACCAAGGCGACGAUACAUAGCCGACCUGAGAGGGUGAUCGGCCACACUGGGACUGAGACACGGCCCAGACUCCUACGGGAGGCAGCAGUAGGGAAUCUUCGGCAAUGGACGGAAGUCUGACCGAGCAACGCCGCGUGAGUGAAGAAGGUUUUCGGAUCGUAAAGCUCUGUUGUAAGAGAAGAACGAGUGUGAGAGUGGAAAGUUCACACUGUGACGGUAUCUUACCAGAAAGGGACGGCUAACUACGUG
rnacentral:rRNA from 1 species